rnacentral:rRNA from 1 species
GUGGGGAAUAUUCCGCAAUGGACGAAAGUCUGACGGAGCAACGCCGCGUGAGUGAAGAAGGUUUUCGGAUCGUAAAGCUCUUUCGUUAGGGACGAACGUGCUCUUUGUGAAUAAUGAGGAGUAAUGACGGUACCUAAAUAAGAAGCCACGGCUAACUACGUGCCAGCAGCCGCGGUAAUACGUAGGUGGCAAGCGUUGUCCGGAAUUAUUGGGCGUAAAGCGCGCGCAGGCGGGAUAUCAAGUCUGUCUUAAAAGUGCGAGGCUCAACCUCGUGAGGGGACAGAAACUGGUAUUCUUGAGUGUCGGAGAGGAAAGUGGAAUUCCAAGUGUAGCGGUGAAAUGCGUAGAGAUUUGGAAGAACACCAGUGGCGAAGGCGACUUUCUGGACGAUGUCUGACGCUGAGGCGCGAAAGCUAGGGGAGCGAACGGGAUUAGAUACCCCUGUAGUCC